GAUGGAGGACAGUCGUCUACACCUAGUUUGUCUCUAUCAAAGGUGACUUACAAUGAGCCAGAAAAGGUUAGAGCAAAAGGUUGUGGAAAGAGACUCAAGGGAGGCAAAGAAAUUGCCACUAAGAACCCCAAAAGGCGUUGUAAUGGUUGCGGAUUAGAGGGGCAAUCACAUGACAAAAGGAAUUGUCCUUUAAUUAUGGGUAGGAUGCAGUAGCUUCAUGGCCUAUGCUGUUCAAUUUUUUUAAGGAUGUUGAAUCCUACUGGACAUUAUUAUUUUGAUGUACUUAUGUUCAUAGCCUAUGGUUUUCAUUUUGAGGAUGUUGAAUCCCACUGGAUAUAACUUAUGUGUAAUUUUUUGCUUGAGUUGAAACUGGAUUGGUUUUCUAAUCCUUGUUCACACAUUA